rnacentral:rRNA from 1 species
UACGGAGGGUGCAAGCGUUGCUCGGAAUCACUGGGCGUAAAGGGUGCGUAGGCGGCCGCGCAAGUCUGGCGUGAAAGCCCCGGGCUCAGCCCGGGAAGGGCGCUCGAAACGGCGCGGCUCGAGUGCCGGAGGGGAGAGUAGAAUUCCUGGUGUAGCGGUGAAAUGCGUAGAUAUCAGGAGGAAUACCGGUGGCGAAAGCGACUCUCUGGACGGCAACUGACGCUGAGGCACGAAAGCGUGGGGAGCAAACAGG